UACAGAGGUCUCAACCGUUGUUCGGAUUCAUUGGGCGUAAAGGGUGCGUAGGCGGUCGCGCAAGUCGGAUGUGAAAUCUUAGGGCUCAACCCUGAAACUGCAUUCGAUACUGCGUGGCUCGAGUACUGGAGAGGAGACUGGAAUUUACGGUGUAGCAGUGAAAUGCGUAGAUAUCGUAAGGAAGACCGGUGGCGAAGGCUAGUCUCUGGACAGUUACUGACACUGAGGCACGAAGGCCAGGGGAGCAAACGGG
rnacentral:rRNA from 1 species